AUUGAACGCUGGCGGCAUGCCUUACACAUGCAAGUCGAACGGCAGCACGGGUGCUUGCACCUGGUGGCGAGUGGCGAACGGGUGAGUAAUAUAUCGGAACGUACCUUAUUGUGGGGGAUAACGCAGCGAAAGCUGUGCUAAUACCGCAUAAUCCCUAAGGGGGAAAGCGGGGGACCGUAAGGCCUCGCGCAAUUAGAGCGGCCGAUACCUGAUUAGCUAGUUGGUGAGGUAAAGGCUCACCAAGGCAACGAUCAGUAGCUGGUCUGAGAGGACGAUCAGCCACACUGGGACUGAGACACGGCCCAGACUCCUACGGGAGGCAGCAGUGGGGAAUUUUGGACAAUGGGGGCAACCCUGAUCCAGCAAUGCCGCGUGAGUGAAGAAGGCCUUCGGGUUGUAAAGCUCUUUUGUCAGGGAAGGAACAGCAGCUCUAACACAGUUUGCGAAUGACGGUACCUGAAGAAUAAGCACCGGCUAACUACGUGCCAGCCGCCGCGGUAA
rnacentral:rRNA from 1 species